AGUACCUCUACAUAAACUCAGAAGGUACUGGGCUGAGGGUGGGGCGUGGAUGGAGAUCUUUUUAUUUUCCGGUUGCUGGUUGCCGGAGACAAGCAUGGUCUAGCAUUGAGUGGAAGCACCGUACAACUCAUAACAUCCACUUUCACGAUGAAUACCAUUUAAGCCCAAGGGAAACCAGUGCUUUUCCUCACCUAUGGACUCAAGUCCCAGAAAGGGCGUUUUGAGUGUCCUCAUGACGUGGCAGCUGGCAACGUGAUGUGAGUGACCCAAGAGAGCCAGCUUAUUAAUGGCAAGUGAUGUCGGGCAUCUUUUCAUCAGCCAAUUUGCUAUCUGCAGAUCUUCUUUGGUUCUAAGACUUGGCCAACAUCCAACUUGAAUCAAUUAGCGAAACAGAAUGGAUCCACCUCUUUACUGCUUCAAUCAAAUGCCAGUUAGUAGCAAUUAGUAUUUACUGAAGAUGAUAUAUGACACUGGAAAUUAUAAUCAGGAAAUGGAAUAUAAGUUAUUCGCGUAUGACAGUUGAGGAAACUGAGGCACUGAGAAAUAGAGACUUUUCCAAGUUUGACUCCGAGUAAAUCCGAGAAUAAGUGCUGAAGUCAAAGCCUUCGGAUGGUUUUACACCACGGUGCUUAAGAAAUAUCAGGCAGGAAGUAUGCAGGUUCAGCUGAGCUGAGAAACCUUUCCAUUUAGAGUGUGUUUGGAUCCUGGUUGGAAUAAUUCUGCUAUCAGCAUGCUACUUCUUUCCUGGCAGAUUGACUCCGAUUCUUUAUUUGCCAAGAUAAUCUGAUAAGCCAUCCAAUUAAGUGAAAGGAACAAGGGUGAUCGUAUUUUUCUCCCUAAGUCAAUGUUGUUCCAUUACUCAUUGCCUUUCAUUUUUGUAGUCAUUGUAAACUUGUUAUCUCUAAGUGGACCUUUUACAGGUACAUAUCUUCUCAGCCACACUCCCCAUCUUGGCACAAAAAGACUGCAUAUACAAACUGAACAUGAGGCUAAUGUCAAUGUUGUAGACAACAGCCCUAUAAGGACUUAAACAGUUGGCAGGGCCCUUCUUCUUUGGGUCAUUUUCUUUAGUAUUCAUAGACUUUUUGUCAGUCCUGAAAUCCCUGCCAGAAACUGCUAAACCUAGGUCUGAGUGGUAUUGAUCCCUUAUACAUUUACUUUUUUAUUGGGCAUCAGUCAAGACCAUUGUCUUAAUUAAGAUUCAUCACCAAGAAUUCAGUAUGAUACCAUUUAACUUUUGCUUUUAGCACAUAUAAAUAAUAACUCUUCACGCAGAUAAAUACGCAUAAGAGGUCACCACUUUUCAUAGGGAAAAGAGGUCAAUAAAAGAAUGAUGCAUAUCUAAUAUAGAUUAGUUUACCUUGAAAAAUCCCUGAUGGUAUUUUUUUUUUUUUUUUUUUGCUAUUAGCAAAAUACUGGACAAUCUUGGAUACUGAACAGAAAACAGCAAAAAUGCUUUAUUCAGUAACUAUUAUUCUUUGGUUUACUGCUUUAUACAUAACAAUAUGUAUAUUGUUAUACACAUUUUAUUUACAUUGAUAUAUGUCAGUAUAUUUUACUUGUGUUGAAGCUGCUUGCGAUUUGGACUAUCAUAAACAGGAUGUUGUCAGAAUAUUGUAUAACUGGGGCCUGUGUUCUACUCAUGAUCCAUCCACAUGUGUUUUGAAAUAAAUCACAGGAAUACCAGAUUAUCAUUUUUUAAGGGAAAUAAUGAAAUAUCAGAACAAUACAUUUUCAGUUAAUUUUUUUUUUCUACAUUUGGUACACAGAGAAGUUAUCCCCACCCCCCCCCCCAGGUGACAUAUAUCCCAGAUUAUUUAUAAAUUCUCAAAUUCUAGUAUUAUGAAACUCAUGUUUUAACAAAUUGAUAGUCCAGUAAAUAUAAAGGACUGGUUUCUAAUGAGUUUUUCAUGUAGCCUUCUAAUGUCAAAAGCUUUAAUAUUGAUAUCUCCAAAUGGUUUUUUAAGAUAAAAUUAUUAGUGAUAUUUAUUAGGCUUUCCUUGGUAAAGAGGAUGUAUAACUGAAUUCUAUUAAAGCAGUAUACUAUGAUUUGAACUCUAUUUUGUAUUCUGGUCUUCAUAAAUCUAAUGUACAGCCAGCUCCCAGUCACCCCGAGAGCUAACCACCUUGUAUCAGAUGCAAAUGCUUACCUAGAUAUUAUGAUCUAAUUUUGGUGAUGCAAAACCUUGUAUAGAUAAAUGAAAAUAGCUUCUAUCUGUGCACUCCAUUUAAUUCUGCAUAUAUCAAUUUUUGUUUUCUGUUUGUUUUUGUUUUGUUUUGUUUUAAGAUCUGAAUUAAGUGGUCCUGUUUAGGGAUCAUUGUGAACUGGCUUAGUCAGAAUGGGGGAAUUUCCUUAAAGACAGGAUUCUAAAAGCAUCCUCUUUCACUUUUUUGCACUCCUUUUUCCAAAGAACCCUUCUCCAACUAAUUUUCAAAUGCUAAAAUUCUAUCACUGGUGCUUUAUUGCUUUAACCUCAGUUAAAUGUAAAUUCCCUUUGGCAGAAUAAUAAUUAAAGUGAUUAGUGUUGAUAGGCUCCUCAGAGUAGUUCUCCAGAAAGGUUUUCAGGAGGGGAAGAGAGAAAAUAUAACUCAAGGAAUAAAAUAAAUGUAGAAUGAAAACAGACUUCAUUCACAUCACUUUUUCCCUAGGGUCAGCUCUAGAAACUAAGAAGGGCUACAUUAAUACUUGGUAGUAUAUAGGAGAGCUUAUUACUACUGAAUCGUGAGCCAAAGGAUAGUUCCCUACCAUAGUGGUGUAAUCAUGCAAUGGAUUUUCUGACCUACUGGAUUGCAAACUACCUGCUUGUAAUACAGAACAGUAUAGUAACCUGAACGAACACAUAUGUUUAGAACCUCAGAAAACAUUCAUUUCAGAAGUGGAAGUGAAACAAAGGAAAAUACGUUGACACUGGGCUAAUUUUGAAAACACACACUCAGAAUCAUCAAUAAACAUUAUUCUAAAUGUUACUAACCUAAACUGCAAUAUGACAUUUCAGUUUGUUAUAUAUCUCUAAUGAGACGUUUUUAUUAAGGUUUUAAUUUUAAUUCCAGUAUACGUAACAUACAGUAUUGUAUUAAUUUCAUGUGUACAAUAUAGUGAUUCAACAGUGCUAUUAUUCAGUGCCCAUCAUGAUAAGUGUACUCUUUAAUCCCCAUCACCUAUUUCAUCCAUCCCCUCCCCUACUUGCCCUCUGGUAAGUAUCACUUUAUUCUCUAAAGUUAAGACUCUGUUUCUAGGUUUGUCU